GAUGAACGCUAGCGGCAGGCUUAAUACAUGCAAGUCGAGGGGCAGCAGGGGUGUAGCAAUACACUCGCUGGCGACCGGCAAACGGGUGCGGAACACGUACGCAAUCUACCCAAAACUGGUGAAUAGCCCUCCGAAAGGAGGAUUAAUACACCGUAACUUAAGGAAGUGGCAUCACUAUCUUAAUAUAGCUCCGGCGGUUUUGGAUGAGCGUGCGCCUGAUUAGGUAGNGGUCGGGGUAACGGACCCACCCAACGACCUACCGAUCAGUAACUGGUGUGAGAGCACGACCAGUCACACGGGCGACUGAGACACCGGGCCCGGACCUCCUA
rnacentral:rRNA from 1 species